GCCGACAGGCGUAGUCGAUGGACAACCGGUUGAUAUUCCGGUACCCGCUUUGAAACGCCCAAUACUGAAUCAGGCGAUGCUAAGUCCGUGAAGCCGGCCCGAUCUCUUCGGAGUUGAGGGUAGUGGUGGAGCCGACGAACCAGACUUGUAGUAGGUAAGCGAUGGGGUGACGCAGGAAGGUAGUCCAGCCCGGGCGGUGGUAGUCCCGGGGUAAGGGUGUAGGGCGUGUGAUAGGCAAAUCCGUCACACAUUCCUGAGACCUGAUGCCGAGCCGAUUGUGGUGAAGUGGAUGAUCCUAUGCUGUCGAGAAAAGCCUCUAGCGAGUUUCAUGGCGGCCCGUACCCUAAACCGACUCAGGUGGUCAGGUAGAGAAUACCGAGGCGUUCGGGUGAACUAUGGUUAAGGAACUCGGCAAAAUGCCCCCGUAACUUCGGGAGAAGGGGGGCCAUCACUGGUGAUUGGAUUUACUCCAUGAGCUGGGGGUGGCCGCAGAGACCAGCGAGAAGCGACUGUUUACUAAAAACACAGGUCCGUGCGAAGCCGUAAGGCGAUGUAUACGGACUGACGCCUGCCCGGUGCUGGAACGUUAAGGGGACCGGUUAGCUGACUUUCGGGUCGGCGAAGCUGAGAACUUAAGCGCCAGUAAACGGCGGUGGUAACUAUAACCAUCCUAAGGUAGCGAAAUUCCUUGUCGGGUAAGUUCCGACCUGCACGAAUGGCGUAACGACUUCUCGACUGUCUCAACCAUAGGCCCGGUGAAAUUGCACUACGAGUAAAGAUGCUCGUUUCGCGCAGCAGGACGGAAAGACCCCGGGACCUUUACUACAGUUUGAUAUUGGUGUUCGGUUCGGCUUGUGUAGGAUAGGUGGGAGACUUUGAAGCAGCCACGCCAGUGGUUGUGGAGUCGCCGUUGAAAUACCACUCUGGUCGUGCUGGAUGUCUAACCUGGGUCCGUGAUCCGGAUCAGGGACAGUGUCUGAUGGGUAGUUUAACUGGGGCGGUUGCCUCCUAAAGAGUAACGGAGGCGCCCAAAGGUUCCCUCAGCCUGGUUGGCAAUCAGGUGUUGAGUGUAAGUGCACAAGGGAGCUUGACUGUGAGACCGACGGGUCGAGCAGGGACGAAAGUCGGGACUAGUGAUCCGGCAGUGGCUUGUGGAAGCGCUGUCGCUCAACGGAUAAAAGGUACCCCGGGGAUAACAGGCUGAUCUUCCCCAAGAGUCCAUAUCGACGGGAUGGUUUGGCACCUCGAUGUCGGCUCGUCGCAUCCUGGGGCUGGAGUCGGUCCCAAGGGUUGGGCUGUUCGCCCAUUAAAGCGGUACGCGAGCUGGGUUUAGAACGUCGUGAGACAGUUCGGUCCCUAUCCGCUGCGCGCGUAGGAAUAUUGAGAAGGGCUGUCCCUAGUACGAGAGGACCGGGACGGACGAACCUCUGGUGUGCCAGUUGUCCUGCCAAGGGCAUGGCUGGUUGGCUACGUUCGGAAAGGAUAACCGCUGAAAGCAUCUAAGCGGGAAGCCUGCUUCGAGAUGAGUAUUCCCACCCCCUUUGAGGGGUUAAGGCUCCCAGUAGACGACUGGGUUGAUAGGCCAGAUGUGGAAGCCCGGCAACGGGUGGAGCUGACUGGUACUAAUAGGCCGAGGGCUUGUCCU
rnacentral:rRNA from 1 species